rnacentral:tRNA from 1 species
AUUAUUUUGGCAGAAUUUAAUGUGGUGAAUUUAGGAUUCAUAAAUAUAUAAUUUUAUUUAUAUAAAUAAUA